rnacentral:misc_RNA from 1 species
CACUGUUAGUUCCGUUGACGUUGACACAUGUCCUGUGACGUGACGUUGGCAUGACGUGAUCCAAAAUUCCAGAAAAACGAUUUCACAACAAAAAUAUUGCCCGUUAUUAGUCAUUCAUGAUGUGAAAAACGUUAGAAAACGCAAAGUUCAAAAAUGCCAAUACAGGCCCCACAAUGGACGGAGUUUCUCUCCUGUCCCGUUUGUUGUAACGCGUUCGAUGACAAACUGCGUAGCCCCAUCAGUUUGGGGUGCGGGCACACCGUGUGCAGGGGCUGCCUGUCCAAUUUGCACCGGAAACAGUGUCCUUUCGAUCAAACGCUCAUCACUAUCGAUAUUGAAAACUUACCAGUGAACACUGCCUUACUGCAACUGGUGGGGCUCAAUGCCAAACCGGACAGUAUCGCAGACACUAACGUAAUACCCAGGGAAGCCCUUCCUGAUUAUAUUAAAUGUAAAACUCAUGUAGAAGAACUGGCACUUUAUUUGAAACCACAUCAGAGUGGCAGCGGGAGCAUUUUAUCCAGACCUAUGCAAAGGAAAUUAGUCACUUUAAUCAAUUGUCAGUUGGUGGAGGAUGAGGGAAGAACUAGGGCAAUGAGGGCCGCUCGCUCUUUAGGCGAACGCACUGUAACCGAAUUGAUUUUGCAACAUCAGAACCCACAGCAGUUAUCGGCUAAUUUAUGGGCCGCUGUGAGGGCCAGAGGAUGUCAGUUUUUAGGACCUGCCAUGCAAGAAGAAGUACUAAAACUAGUACUAUUGGCUCUGGAGGACGGUUCGGCCCUCUCCAGAAAAGUGUUGGUCAUGUUCGUGGUCCAGAGGCUAGAACCUCAUUUCCCCCAAGCCUCGAAAACUAGCAUAGGUCACGUUGUACAACUCCUUUAUAGGGCGUCUUGCUUCAAAGUCUCGAAACGAGAGGCCGACUCCUCGCUGAUGCAACUCAAAGAGGAAUUUCGCACUUACGACGCGUUACGCAGAGAACACGACGCGCAGAUCGUCCAAAUAGCGACGGAGGCCGGUCUUCGGAUCGCUCCCGACCAAUGGAGCGCCCUACUUUACGGAGAUACUGCGCACAAGUCCCAUAUGCAAUCGAUCAUCGAUAAAUUGCAGACUCCCCAGUCGUUUGCGCAGUCGGUGCAGGAGUUGGUGAUCGCGUUACAGCGCACAGGGGAUCCCGGCAAGUUGUCGGUCCUGCGGGAUCCCUUGGAAUUGUUGGCGGGGAUCGAUCCCAGUCCCGAGUCCAGCCCGCCCACUUGGAGGGAGUGCACGGAGUGUUUGGAGGCUGUGAAGCAAGUGGUCACAGGUUUGGUCGAGUUCAUUCAGCAGCACGGCAGCAGACGGGUGCAAGACAACUCGCACUCGCAACACGCCAAAUACAAAAUAAGCAUGUGCAGGGAUUUGACUUUGAGGGGCAGCUGCCCCCGCGGCACCAACUGCACCUUCGCCCACUCGAACGAGGAACUGGAAAAGUACCGAGCGAAAAAUCGGAAAAACUGCAACAGAAACAAUAAGCAGGAUCAGCACCGCAUCGAGUCCCCCGUGAUUAUCGAUAAAAUCGUGCCUGCCGCACCUCUACCUUCCGAAGAGUUCGUCCCGAUUCCCGUUAACAUCCCCUUCAAUCCCCCGUAUAAUCCUUCGUACGUACAAAAUCAGCAACAAUUCCCCACGCCACCUCCGGUAUUCCCUGGUUUCGCCUCUCAAGAAGUGAUGACUUCCAACGUUGUCUUAGCCAACGGGGCUCAGGUUUAUCCCGCCAUGCCCCCCCAACCGGAAUUUGGGCCUCUUCAGCAAGAAUCCGUAAGGAGAACCGGGUGGGAUCACAUGGUGAGUUGUCAGUGGCCCGCCAGCUCGCCCGAUUUAAGCACCGUUCGCUUUCAGAUCAUCAAACACCAAAACGUUUCGCCUCAGAAGCCUUCGAGGACUCAAACGAAAUCGUUGGCCGAGUUGCAUCAACUGAAACGGGAGGUGCUCACCCAACUGGAAAAGGUGGUGGGCAAAAGUGCCGCCACCGAAAUCUCCAAUACCGCGUGCACUUUGGCUCGUCAAGAGUCCCUACACGACCCGGACAGUCCCUCGUCCCCGUACAAUUUUCUGUCCGGACAAAUCACCUCGGGGCCGACUUUCGUACGGUCCGAUUCCAUAUUGGCCGCAGACGACGAUUACGUGCCGUACGAUUGUCCGGCCAUCAGUAAAUACGGCCCGAUAUCCAGGAUGCAAAAGAGCAUCCAGGAUCCGCAUAAUAACGGGGUACCGUCCGGGUUCAGGGACAACGGAAACGGAUUGGGCAGGAGACCUUUGGGCUCCGGAAGUCCCGUGACUUCGUGGUUUAUUAACAACAACUACCAUCAUCAUCAUCAGGGUCCCUCGGGACAUGCCAUAGUGGUGCCGUCAGGGGCGGCCGGGAUCGGUGACGGCUACGUCACUUACGCAGCCUCUCAUCCGAUGAUGUACCACUCGCGACUGCAAGAUCCCUCUGCGAAUCCCACGAAAGAUUUACUGGCAGAGUCGCAGAGGGUCCAGAUUCAGCUCCGGAAUCUGGAGAAGCAAUUGAAUAACUUGAAGUUGGCCUCGCAGGGGGUCACGUCCCUCAGCGAGAGCGAGAGGCUCACCAAGGAACUGCAGCUGAUCGAGCAAGGGAUCCAGGAGAAGCAGAAGGAGGCUUGUUUGAACAAAAUCGUCCACUCUUUAACGCAGGCGAACAGGAACGGGCAUUAUCAGCCGAAACCUGUAGAUGACGCUAGUUACGAGCAGGAUAUUGCUAACGAUAUUCGUGAGUUGGAGCGCAGGCUGCAGGAGGAGCUGGAGGAGUGGAGCGGCGAGGAUUCUCCCAAGUAAACCCCUUCCUCGGAGGGAGGAAGGUGGAGGAUAAAACUAUAUUUUUUGACCACUACUUAGAACCAGAAAACUCCUAUUUUUUACCAAAAAAAACUCAAGAAAAAAGAAAAAAAAACUACCAAAACAAUGUGAUGAAUAAUUUUUUCGUUUUUCUCUUUGAAUAAUUUUUUAGUUGAAUUUCGUUGACGUGAACGAAACCCGACGGUGAGAUCGGGUUACGAUAUUUUUUUAAAAAUGAAACUAGGUCGGUCGGCACGGUACUUUAUUCAUAAUAAGGGCGCCGGCCGCGCUGAUGCAGGGAUGAAGUUCAUAAUUUUCGUGAAUUCGGCAAUACGCGUUAUUCCAGUUUUAUGGGAACACAUAUUCUUUCUGGGGGGUAAUCCAGAGGGGGGACAAAGGCGAGGUUUUCAAUUUGUCAGCAGUGUAUUUAAUUUUAAUUUGCAAUACACUGCUCGCACAAAAUAACGUCAAGAUCUUUUAGGACAGCUGUAUAUUUUUUGCAAUUUACCAUAACACUAUGGAAAUUUUUUAAAAAUAGUGAGUCCUUGUUAGAUACUAUACAUUUCUCUUAAACACAUUUACCUGUGAGCAGUGUACUAAAUUUCUUAUUCUCUAUUUUGGGGAAUUUUUUUUUUUUUGCACAGGUAGUGUAUUUUUUUCGCCACAUUUAUUUAUUUCUUCGUUUUGUAAAUACACAUUUCUUUAAUCUUAAUUAAAUAGUUCAGGUGUGAAUUUUUAAACUUGCGAAUAAUGUUUUAUUCACGUCAGCAGUGUAGGGUCUACCAGUCUAGAAGUCUACCAGUGUAGGGCAGUGUAUAUAUGUCUGUAAGCAGUGUAGGAAAUUUUGUAUACCGCAGUGUAUUUUUUCGCCACGUCAUUUAUUAUAUUAUCUCCUUGUUUAAUUUGUCCUAACCGUUGAAGGAAAUACGAGUUAUGGUCUAUAGGUCAUUAUUUUUAUAUUUCAUGGUGUGAGCAGUGUACAAAAAAAAAUUAUAUACUUCUCACAAAAAAUCAGAUAAUUUUUGAGCACAGGAAUAAUGAUGUUUUCAUUACAUCAGCGUCUACCUUCUUUAGUGUACUGUAUAUAUUUUUUUGCACGUCAUUUAAUAUUUAUUUUUUUAAUCUGCACUAAUAGACUGAUGGUCUACGUGUCAUUUUUUAAACAUUUCAAAGUAUGAGCAGUGUAUAAAAAAUUACAGACUGCUCACACGAAAAAGGUAGUUUUUGAGCCUGACAAUAAUGUUUUCGUUACGUCAGCAUCUAUCUUUUUCAGGGCAGUGUAUCUUUUACCUCUUCAUUUAAUAAUUCUUUUAAUUUGUCACUAUAUUUCCUAGUGUGAGCGGUGUACAAAAAAAUUAUACACUGCUCACACAAAAUCAGAUUGAAUCUUUGAUUAUUUAUUUUUUAAUUUGACUUAAGGUGUAUAUUAUUUAUUCUGCCCUAACACUUCAACGAAGUAUGACUGACGGCCUUUACGUGAUGAUUUUUUUUACUACUGUACAUUUCAUUAUUUUAAAUUAAAUAUUUCAAGAUGUGAGUAGUGUACAAAAAAUACACUGCUCACCUGAAAUUUUUUGAACUCGAAAAUAAUUUUCUCUUCACGUCAGUCAUCUACCUUCUUUAGGACAGUGUAUCUUUUGCCACUUUAUUCAUUAUUUAUUCCUUUCUUUUCACUUCAAGAAAAUAAGAACUAUGGACGGCAAAUGCAUUAAACAGUUAACGUAUGAGCAGUGUACAGACAUUUGCAUACACUGCUCACACAAAAUCUGAUCGAAUAUUUCAUUAUUUAUUUUUAAAUGCUUGUAUUUUAUUUAUUUAUUUUUUAAUUUACCAUACCACUGGAAAUUAAAAAAAAAAUGACUAGUGAGUCCUUGUUAGAUACUAUACAUUUCUCUUAAACACAUUUACCUGUGAGCAGUGUACUAAAUUUCGUAUUCCCUGUUUUGGGGAAUUCUUUUUUUUUUGCACAGGCAGUGUAUUUUUUUCGCCACGUCAUUUAUUAUAUUAUCUCCUUGUUUAAUUUGUCCUAACCGUUAAAGGAAAUACGAGUUAUGGUCUAUAGGUCAUUAUUUUUAUAUUUCAUGGUGUGAGCAGUGUACAAAAAAAAUUAUAUACUUCUCACAAAAAAUCAGAUAAUUUUUGAGCACAGGAAUAAUGAUGUUUUCAUUACAUCAGCGUCUACCCUCUUUAGUCUACUGUAUAUAUUUUGUUGCACGUCAUUUAAUAUUUAUUUUUUUUUAAUCUGCACUAAUAGACUGAUGAUCUACGUGUAAUUUUUUAAAUAUUUCAAAUUAUGAGCAGUGUAUAAAAAAUUACAGACUGCUCACACGAAAACAGGUAGUUUUUGAGCCUGACUGAAAUAAUGUUUUCGUUACGUCAGCAUCUACCUUUUUCAGGGUAGUGUAUCUUUUACCACUUCAUUUAAUAAUUCUUUUAAUUUGUCGGCCUUUACGUGAUGAUUUUUGGUACUAGUGUACAUUUCAUUAUUUUAAAUUAUUAAAUAUUUCAAGAUGUGAGUAGUGUACAAAAAAUACACUGCUCACCUGAAAUUUUUUGAACUCGAAAAUAAUUUUCUCUUCACGUCAGUCAUCUACCUUCUUUAGGACAGUGUAUAUAUCUUUUGCCAUCUUAUUCAUUAUUUCUUCCUUUCUUUUCACUUAACUUCUUUCACUUUCACGGCAAAUGCAUUAAACAGUUAACGUAUGAGCAGUGUACAGACAUUUGCAUACACUGCUCACACAAAACAUUUAAUUUUUUUUUAAUUAAAAAUAAAAACCGCCCUCGCCCCCCUUAAACGAACCGACCCCCCUUAAACGGUUUUUCUUCAAAAAAAAAAAAACAAAAUCGAAAAUGUCGUCAUCUCUCUUAAAAGUAAUCAUGCUGUGUGUGAUCGGUAUAUAAUGUUAUAUAACGCUAUAUAUACAGGGUGGUCCCGUGCGAAAACCAUCCGACGAUUUUAUGGGGAGGCCACCCUGUAUAUUAUUUAUAAUAUUAUUAAUAAUAAUAAUAAUAACUAUGUUUUGUUUAUUUUUUCCUUUGCGGCAUUUGUUUUCAAAAUGUCGCCACGCUAGAACGAUUAAUUAGGAAAAGUGGUCUAUAUACAAUUAUAUAUUAUACAUAUAUAUAUUUAUUUAUAUAUUUA